AUGUUAUAUUAUUUUUACUGUUAUUUUUUUUUUUUUUUUUUUAUCAAAAACUGAAUACCCGAAUUCCUUUCAUACAACGCAGCAAAGUCCUAGCAUCGCCGCCCCUUGCGUGACUCAAUCACGCGUCGCCACCACCCUCCAGCUACUAUCGGUCCAUCGCCGCCGUGUCCAGCCACCGCUCUCCGGCCACUCUCGGUCCAUCGCCCCUGUGCCCUCCUACUGCCCUUCGGUCACUCUCGUCCUAUCGAUUUAAUUUAUAUCGACCUGUAGGAGAGAAUUUACGCUGCGUUCCCUCUCGGGGUUCCCUGGGGUAUCUUCUCGCAUCUUAGAAUCGAAGAGCUUCCGGUUUGUAACAGAGCCAAACAUGGCGAUUGCAUCAGGCAAAAAUGGCAAGCAUGGUGAAGAUGAGGGAGUGACAGAGCAGGGUCACGAAAUUGUACUCCACAACUUCAAAGAGAAACCAGAAAGCUGUAACACCGGUUAGAAUUGCAGCUGACAAACGCUUAUCCUUCCAUAGUAUUAUGUCUGCAGCUGCAUGCACAAUAUCAUUCCAAAGGUCAGUUGAUUUUAGACCUUUGAUUUUUCAUAGAUAGCAUUUGGUAUAUAGAGGAAAUAACUAUGAAAAUAUAUUUUCUUUCGUUUGCGCACGUGUGAAGAAACAAAAUAUUAAUUUUUAUACAUAAUUAAUCUUAAUUUUUUUCUUUACAAAUUUUUAUUCAUAUUAAAAUGGAUUUAUAUUCAUAAUCGAAUUUGAUACAGAUAAAAAAAUGCGAUAAGAAACAAAAUUUAUUUUUAUUAAAUUUUCUAAACAAAAUAUCUUUGAUCCAAACGAAAGAAGUAAGGAACUAUAAAGGAGAAUCACCUUUUCCUCCACCGAACAUCGAGUGCAAAGGCCUUUGGUGACCGAACAAUUUUACGUGAGAUGUAGUUGGGCGACCUGAGGGAUCCAUCCCGAAUGGUAGGUUAUGUUCAAAAUUAGUGUGGUGUGCAGCCUUCUUCAUUGAUAAAAAUUAAUGUGGUGUGCAGCCUUGCCUUCUUCAUUGAUAAUUUUUAUAUAUAUAUAGAGAGAGAGAGAGAGAGAGAGAGAGAGAGAGAGAGAGAGAGAGAGGAAGGGUUCAAUUGUAAGCUGCUGGGUAGCCAAGAAAUUUGAAAUGAGGAAGAAAGGGAUAGCUUUGGCAAGGCUUACAAGAAUGCUUCACGUGCCAAACUCUAGGCUAUAUUUGGUUUUCCUUCGCACCAAUGCUAGCUAUGAUAGAUUCUUUUUGUUUAUGAAGUUAAAGGUAAGAGUGACAUCAAAAUUUAUAUUUAUGCGUAACUCUUGAUUGUAUAAAUCUAAGGGUAAAAUGAUAUUCGAUCAAUAUUUCAAUAUAUGUAAAACUAUUAAG